CAGAGGGGGCAAGCGUUGUUCGGAAUUACUGGGCGUAAAGGGCGCGUAGGCGGCCUGCUAAGUCGAACGUGAAAUCCCUGGGCUCAACCCAGGAACUGCGUCCGAGACUGGUUGGCUUGAAUCCGGGAGAGGGAUGUGGAAUUCCAGGUGUAGCGGUGAAAUGCGUAGAUAUCUGGAGGAACACCGGUGGCGAAGGCGACAUCCUGGACCGGUAUUGACGCUGAGGCGCGAAAGCCAGGGGAGCAAACGGGAUUAGAUACCCCGGUAGUCCUGGCCCUAAACGAUGAAUGCUUGGUGUGGUGGGUAUCGAUCCCUACCGUGCCGAAGCUAACGCAUUAAGCAUUCCGCCUGGGGAGUACGGUCGCAAGGCUG
rnacentral:rRNA from 1 species